rnacentral:rRNA from 1 species
UACGUAGGGAGCAAGCGUUGUCCGGAAUCAUUGGGCGUAAAGCGCGCGUAGGCGGCCCUGUAAGUCCGUUGUGAAAGUCAAAGGCUCAACCUUUGAAAGCCGAUGGAUACUGCAGGGCUAGAGUCCGGAAGAGGCGAGUGGAAUUCCUGGUGUAGCGGUGGAAUGCGCAGAUAUCAGGAGGAACGCCAAUAGCGAAGGCAGCUCGCUGGGACGGUACUGACGCUAAGGCGCGAAAGCGUGGGGAGCGAACAGG